AUCCUUUUGUAAUUCAACAAUGUGAUGAUUGGGCUUUCACACUUGUGUGAGAUGCACCUCGCUCAAACCUUGUUAACAUCUGCACGGUACCUGUCUGAAG
rnacentral:snoRNA from 2 species